rnacentral:rRNA from 1 species
AUGGUCUUAGGCUACACCCAAGAAGAGCGCAAGAGCAUUGCGGAUCGGCUUAACUGCCACCUCGGGUGCUUCCCCACGACAUAUCUGGGGAUCCCCAUUAGCGACUCCAGGCUUACGGUGGCCGAGCUGCGCCCCAUGGUGGGAAAGCUUCAGCACCGGAUCGAGCCCUGGCAGGGUAGAUGGCUCUCGAAAGCGGCCCGCACGGUGCUCAUUAACUCAUCCCUCUCCAGCCUACUAUUAUUCAUCAUGAGCUUCUACAGCCUUUCCGAGACCCUCCAUCAUGAGAUUGCCACCGUCCAGGGGCGUUUCUUCUAGGCAGGCGAGGGAGAUAAGCAGAAGUACCACAUGGUCAGGUGGUCGGAGAUCUGCAAACCCCGCGACCAGGGCGGUCUGGGUAUCAUGUCCUCCAAACACAUGAACAUUGCCCUUCUGACUAAGUGGCUAUGGCGGAUCGCUAAUGGUGAAGGUGGACUGUGGCUC